UACGAAGGGAGCUAGCGUUGUUCGGAAUUACUGGGCGUAAAGCGCACGUAGGCGGUUAUUCAAGUCAGAGGUGAAAGCCCGGGGCUCAACCCCGGAAUUGCCUUUGAAACUAGGUAGCUAGAAUCUUGGAGAGGUCAGUGGAAUUCCGAGUGUAGAGGUGAAAUUCGUAGAUAUUCGGAAGAACACCAGUGGCGAAGGCGACUGACUGGACAAGUAUUGACGCUGAGGUGCGAAAGCGUGGGGAGCAAACAGG
rnacentral:rRNA from 1 species